AUAUAGUUAAAUUUAUCAUUCUCAGCAGCCGUCAUGUUUCAGGUAUAUAUCAUUCU
rnacentral:sRNA from 1 species